CUCAUGGGUGAGAGGAAGAAGCAUGGUAAGGGUGGCAGAAAGAAUAUUCCACCAAACAUAACAUCUUCCGAGAACUCCGUUGUGGAGGAAUGCAAGGAGAAGAUAGCAGCUAACAACGAUGAGGUUUCACCCACGGAUGAUGUCAUCAUGAGUGUUUUCUACCAAAUGCGAGAGCAACCACAUCUAUAGUGGAUGCACAGGUGGAGGAGAUAAAAAGGCUUAAAAAGGCAAUUUUAGAUCACAGAACUUUGUUGGAGAUCUUGUAGUCAGAAUAUGCACAACGAUGCAAGAGGAAUGUCAUAUACUCAGAAGAGGGGGUUACAGGGAAGCAAAUCUAUUGGGUAAGUCAAACCAAGAGAAGAGUGAACACGUCACAGCAAAGAAGACAAGGUAAAAAAGAUAACAAUCGCUGAUGAUGUGGACGGUGACAUUGUGACCAACGACAUUGAUGAAAUUAUUAGGAAGAUCUAUGUUGAAUUUGGUGAAGUAAAAAAAAUAGCAACGACGCUACAAGAGUCUGGUGCGAAGUCCCCUUCAAAGAUGUCGGAAAUCAAGAAGCAACGACUAAAGGUAUUUUCUGGCUGAAAUUGAGGGACCUGAUCAAAAGUCUGAUUCAGAGGCUGAAAAAGGGCUGCAGGUGCUGUUAGAUUCUGACCCUCCUGCACUCGAAGUGAAUUUUCGAGAACUACAGAAGCCCAAUUGGUGCUCUCUCAAUUGCGUUGGAAAGUAGACAUCUUGAGCUUUCCAGCAAUGUAUAAUAGUCCAUACUUUGCCCGAGAUUUGAUGGCCCAAACUGGCGUCCAAAUGCCCACCAGAGACCAUUUUCUAGCGUAAAACGCCGGAACUAGCACCAGAACUGGAGUUAAACGGCCAAACUGGCAUCCACGCUGACGUUUAACUCCAAGAGUGGCCUAUGCAUGUGAAAGCUUCAAAGCUCAGCCCAAACACACACCAAGUGGGCCCCGGAAGUGGAUUUAUGCACUAUCUGUACUUAGUUGCUUAUUUUCUGUAAACCCUAGUAACUAGUUUAGUAUAAUAGCACCAUUUACUAUUGUAUUGGAGCUUAUGCCAUUUUUCACUUUGAGGGAGGCUGGCCAUUUGGCCAUGCCUAGACCUUUCUCUCUUAUGUAUUUUCCAACGGUGGAGUUUCUACACCUCAUAGAUUAAAGUGCGGAGCUCUGCUGUUCUUCAUGAAUUAAU